AGCGCAUACGGUGGAUGCCUUGGCAGUCAGAGGCGAUGAAAGACGUGGUAGCCUGCGAAAAGCUUCGGGGAGUCGGCAAACAGACUUUGAUCCGGAGAUGUCUGAAUGGGGGAACCCAGCCAUCAUAAGAUGGUUAUCUUACGCUGAAUACAUAGGCGUAAGAGGCGAACCAGGGGAACUGAAACAUCUAAGUACCCUGAGGAAAAGAAAUCAACCGAGAUUCCCUUAGUAGUGGCGAGCGAACGGGGACUAGCCCUUAAGUGGCUUUGAGAUUAGCGGAACGCUCUGGAAAGUGCGGCCAUAGUGGGUGAUAGCCCUGUACGCGAAAAUCUCUUGGUCAUGAAAUCGAGUAGGACGGAGCACGAGAAACUUUGUCUGAAUAUGGGGGGACCAUCCUCCAAGGCUAAAUACUACUGACUGACCGAUAGUGAACUAGUACCGUGAGGGAAAGGCGAAAAGAACCCCGGAGAGGGGAGUGAAAUAGAUCCUGAAACCGUAUGCGUACAAGCAGUGGGAGCCCACUUUGUUGGGUGACUGCGUACCUUUUGUAUAAUGGGUCAGCGACUUAUUUUCAGUGGCGAGCUUAACCGAAUAGGGGAGGCGUAGCGAAAGCGAGUCUUAAUAGGGCGUCUAGUCGCUGGGAAUAGACCCGAAACCGGGCGAUCUAUCCAUGGGCAGGUUGAAGGUUGGGUAACACUAACUGGAGGACCGAACCGACUACCGUUGAAAAGUUAGCGGAUGACCUGUGGAUCGGAGUGAAAGGCUAAUCAAGCUCGGAGAUAGCUGGUUCUCCUCGAAAGCUAUUUAGGUAGCGCCUCAUGUAUCACUGUAGGGGGUAGAGCACUGUUUCGGCUAGGGGGUCAUCCCGACUUACCAAACCGAUGCAAACUCCGAAUACCUACAAGUGCCGAGCAUGGGAGACACACGGCGGGUGCUAACGUCCGUCGUGAAAAGGGAAACAACCCAGACCGUCAGCUAAGGUCCCAAAGUUAUGGUUAAGUGGGAAACGAUGUGGGAAGGCUUAGACAGCUAGGAGGUUGGCUUAGAAGCAGCCACCCUUUAAAGAAAGCGUAAUAGCUCACUAGUCGAGUCGGCCUGCGCGGAAGAUGUAACGGGGCUCAAACCAUACACCGAAGCUACGGGUAUCACGUAAGUGAUGCGGUAGAGGAGCGUUCUGUAAGCCUGUGAAGGUGAGUUGAGAAGCUUGCUGGAGGUAUCAGAAGUGCGAAUGCUGACAUGAGUAACGACAAUGGGUGUGAAAAACACCCACGCCGAAAGACCAAGGUUUCCUGCGCAACGUUAAUCGACGCAGGGUUAGUCGGUCCCUAAGGCGAGGCUGAAAAGCGUAGUCGAUGGAAAACAGGUUAAUAUUCCUGUACUUCUGGUUAUUGCGAUGGAGGGACGGAGAAGGCUAGGCCAGCUUGGCGUUGGUUGUCCAAGUUUAAGGUGGUAGGCUGAGAUCUUAGGUAAAUCCGGGAUCUUAAGGCCGAGAGCUGAUGACGAGUGUUCUUUUAGAACACGAAGUGGUUGAUGCCAUGCUUCCAAGAAAAGCUUCUAAGCUUCAGGUAACCAGGAACCGUACCCCAAACCGACACAGGUGGUUGGGUAGAGAAUACCAAGGCGCUUGAGAGAACUCGGGUGAAGGAACUAGGCAAAAUGGCACCGUAACUUCGGGAGAAGGUGCGCCGGUGAGGGUGAAGGACUUGCUCCGUAAGCUCAUGCCGGUCGAAGAUACCAGGCCGCUGCGACUGUUUAUUAAAAACACAGCACUCUGCAAACACGAAAGUGGACGUAUAGGGUGUGACGCCUGCCCGGUGCCGGAAGGUUAAUUGAUGGGGUUAGCUAACGCGAAGCUCUUGAUCGAAGCCCCGGUAAACGGCGGCCGUAACUAUAACGGUCCUAAGGUAGCGAAAUUCCUUGUCGGGUAAGUUCCGACCUGCACGAAUGGCGUAACGAUGGCGGCGCUGUCUCCACCCGAGACUCAGUGAAAUUGAAAUCGCUGUGAAGAUGCAGUGUAUCCGCGGCUAGACGGAAAGACCCCGUGAACCUUUACUAUAGCUUUGCACUGGACUUUGAAUUUGCUUGUGUAGGAUAGGUGGGAGGCUUUGAAGCGUGGACGCCAGUCUGCGUGGAGCCAACCUUGAAAUACCACCCUGGCAACUUUGAGGUUCUAACUCAGGUCCGUUAUCCGGAUCGAGGACAGUGUAUGGUGGGUAGUUUGACUGGGGCGGUCUCCUCCUAAAGAGUAACGGAGGAGUACGAAGGUGCGCUCAGACCGGUCGGAAAUCGGUCGUAGAGUAUAAAGGCAAAAGCGCGCUUGACUGCGAGACAGACACGUCGAGCAGGUACGAAAGUAGGUCUUAGUGAUCCGGUGGUUCUGUAUGGAAGGGCCAUCGCUCAACGGAUAAAAGGUACUCCGGGGAUAACAGGCUGAUACCGCCCAAGAGUUCAUAUCGACGGCGGUGUUUGGCACCUCGAUGUCGGCUCAUCACAUCCUGGGGCUGAAGCCGGUCCCAAGGGUAUGGCUGUUCGCCAUUUAAAGUGGUACGCGAGCUGGGUUUAGAACGUCGUGAGACAGUUCGGUCCCUAUCUGCCGUGGACGUUUGAGAUUUGAGAGGGGCUGCUCCUAGUACGAGAGGACCGGAGUGGACGAACCUCUGGUGUUCCGGUUGUCACGCCAGUGGCAUUGCCGGGUAGCUAUGUUCGGAAUAGAUAACCGCUGAAAGCAUCUAAGCGGGAAACUAGCCUCAAGAUGAGAUCUCACUGGAACCUUGA
rnacentral:rRNA from 1 species